GACGGAGGGUGCAAGCGUUGCUCGGAUUCGCUGGGCGUAAAGAGCACGUAGGCGGCUUGGUAAGUCUGAUGUGAAAGCCCUGGACUCAAUCCAGGAAGUGCAUUGGAUACUGCUAGGCUAGAAUGCAGGAGGGGUAAGCGGAAUUCCAGGUGUAGAGGUGAAAUUCGUAGAUAUCUGGAGGAACAACGGUGGCGAAGGCGGCUUACUGGACUGAUAUUGACGCUGAGGUGCGAAAGUGUGGGGAGCAAACAGG
rnacentral:rRNA from 1 species